rnacentral:ncRNA from 1 species
CUUUGCACACGCGGGAGCUCGGAGCACCGGGCUGAGAGGGCGCUGACCUCCGUACUCCGUACGGGACAUGCUGCGCCGACCGCCGAACCUGUUACCGGGUAAUGCCGGCGUAGGGAGUAGGUCUCAUGACCAC